GCGGGAAUAGCUCAGUUGGUAGAGCAGGAGCCUUCCAAGCUUCAGGUCACGGGUUCGAGUCCCGCUUCCCGCUCCA
rnacentral:tRNA from 1 species